CAAAAGCAUAUCUCCAAAGCAAAACCAUUAACCUUUUAUCCCUGCAAAAGCCCUUUUGACUUGGGAGCAAUGGUGAAACCAUCAUCCACAUCCGUUAUGCUGCUCAUGUUUUUGCUAGUUGCCAUCGGUGUGCAAGUAAGCGUUGGAUGCGUUUAUCACAGAGAUUGCGGGCCACCAGGUUGUUGCGUGUGUAAUUUAUUCAAAUGUCUAUGCACAUGCCCACAAGGGCAGAAUUUCGUAGGAGACCUCGAGGGAAAAGGAAAUGGCGCAAGAAAAUUCUUGAAGGGAAAUGGAAAUCCAUAAGUCUUUUAUGAUAUCAAAAUAAAUUAUCAAAAUAAAAGUUUUACCAGUUGUUGCAUUUGUAGAAUAACAAUAAGCUAAA